CUUAAAUCUUAGAAUUCUGACUUUCAGGUCUUCUGAUUUUAAAGUCAGACUUUUGACUUUUUUCUCAGAAUUCUGAUUCAGAGUAAUAAUUUAAAAAAAUCACACUGGACCUUUUUUUUUUCCAGUGGCCCUGAUCCUCUUCCGUAUAAAGGGAAAUAAAAAGCACAGUUUCGUGUUUUGUCAGUUGUAAAAAAAUCAAAAGGGAACUUUUAUUUUAUAUUCUCAAAGGGCGUUAAGAGAAAACACUGUCAAUGUGCUGGAAGGGCAUCCAGAGACCAACAUUUUUUUCUCUUUACAUAUUGAAGGGGCGACUACGAGGCACUUCUUCAUGUUUCAUCCACAGACAGAAAGUUCUAUUUAUAAUAUUUGAUUUAGACAACAUCUUUUCAACACUUCAUAUACUGGAAGGGCAUCCAGAGGGCUCUUUGUUGAUUGUGUUUGAGACUUCUGGAGGUUUCUGAGCUCCUGAUUGGUUUCUCCUCUAACGGAUGAUGGUAAAGAUCAAAAUUAAAACUGUUAUAAAAGCAGCAGAAGGAUAAACCGGAGAUUUAAAGGGUGAGUAAUCUGCAGAAUCACUGUGUCCAUGUUUCUGCUGCUCAUUAGUGUUCUCAGAGGACAGACUGUCCUGGACCUGUGUGUGUGUGUGUGUGUGUGUGUGUGUGUGUGUGUGUGUGUGUGUGUGUGUGUGUGUGUGUGUUAAAAUGCUGAUAAACAGCUGUAUUGCUCAUGUUCACCCCCACCCUCUCUGUCUUUCUUUAGGCGGUGUUGCCGUGUCUUUCUUUGCCUCCGUCUCUCAGCGGCCUACUCGUUCUGGAGGUGUGUUUUUGUGUCUUCCUUGUGUUUUCGGAUGUGUGGAGGCUGUUUCAUUUUCAGCCUUUCCUCCAGCAGCUGAAGCUAAAUCUUAUUUCCAAUUUGCAUGUUUAGUUUUUCUCCUCUGAGGAGGAAUAAACCCAUGUGGGCAGAUGUGUGUGUGAUCCUCUGUUGUUCAGCGGCUCUGAAGGGUCUCAGACUCUGCACAGAGCGCUGCCUCCACAGUCGUACAGAUGAAAACAACAGACUGAUGGUGGAGGGUGUUUCUGUCUCUCAUUUCAGAGUGGACUGUGAUCCAGAGAACAGAUCUCUGAGAGUCAGACUGCAGACGUUCAUGUUGUGGAUUUUGUUGUUUGACAGAGAAACUCGUCCCCGGCUGAUUGUGUUCAGAGGUGUUACAGUCCCUCCUCCUCUCACUGAUAAACGCCGACAGUCUUUAUCUCUGCUGACUGAUUAUCAACACAUUCCUCAGCUCUUAUUUUUAACUCUGUGUCUCAGAGACAGAGACUUUUUAUUGAGGUGUUCCACUUCAUAAAAACAUCAAAUGAUGUAAAUUAAUAUUCAACAUGAUUCUUCCCACGUUUGAAAGAAGACCGCUCAAGGGCCCUUCCCUCCUACAGUAUUAAACAUUAAAGAGCGCCCUCUGGUUGUGCUUCCAGGACAUCAAACUAACAGAGUAACAAGAGGAUUCCUUUUGAACGUAUAAAAAGUUUAAAAAAAAACUGCCUUGAUGCCCUUCCAUUGUAUGAAACAUGGAGAAAGUGCCCCUGAUGCCCUCCCAGCAGAUAAACAAAAGUCUGACCUUUUAGUGGACUCAAAAUAUUAAUGUGCCCUCUGAAUACCCUUUAAAGAGAUUUUACAUCACUGACCUCUGGAUACUCUUCCUGUUGAUUAAACUCCUUGAAUACCCUCCUGGUGGACAUAAUUUAAAAAACUUUCUGUCCAGGAGAUUUAACAUGAAAAACACUGCUCUCUGGAUACCCUUCCACAUUUUUUAAUAAGUGUUAAAUCAGUUAUUUCUAUGACUCUAUUUAUAUCAGAACAGUACAGAGGCGUAUUGUAUUCACCAAUAAAAUAAAAUAAAAAUUUAAAGAAGAGAGAAAAAGAAAAAGGUCUGUAUUUAGAGUAAUUUUUUUCUGUUUUUUGGACUAAUUUUUUUGUUUUGUUUUGUUUUGUUUUUCAGACUUAGGGCUCUAUUUUCAUGCCCGCCAGUGGUGCGGUGGAGGGUGGCAGACCCUGCGCAGUGUUUUUUUUGUCUGGCGGAUCCCGGUGCACAGCCAGACACUUAAUACACCUACUCUCCUGCCGAAUGUGCACAACACUACUGCGCAAUGUUGGUUUCAGGAAAUGGAGAAAAAAGGCUGAAAAACCGAGAACUUUUCGGCUUCAGAUCCGUUUACAGGAGGAAGGAGGAACAGAGUUGUCCAGAGUAAAUACAGUCUAUAGACUAACCUCAUAAUUCAUCUUUUUCUCUGAAUCAGACUUCUCUCCUUGUCCUCGUUUACAUGCAGCUGAGAAAAUCGAAUUAUUGACGUGAACGUGUCCUCCUCCCCAACACUAGGGGGCGAUAUGGGUCUUUUCAGCGGCGCUGUUUCCGACCCCAUACAACCGUCAACAACAACAGCAGGUCGGUGUCAGACGUCAGUGUCUACAACUGCUGCUGGGCAUUUUGGAGAAACAAGAAGAUGGAGCAUCGUACAGCGUUGUUUUUGUCCGACAUGAUGGACGCGCUACUUUUUCUAAAGAGGAGACCAACGCUACUCCUCUACUCUGGGGGUUUGUUACCGGGGUUAGGGGGGCGUGGCUCAUUGUCCGAUCAUACUCCGACUACGCUGGUUGCAUGGUAGAGAAAAUCGAAUUCUAAUCACAUUAUCUGGGAGUUUUAAUCAGAGUUCUCCGACAUAGACAUAUAAGCAGUAGAUUGUGUCCUUCCAGAGGAGGAAAUCUACUUCUAGACUUCUAGAAUCAGCAUCUCCUCAUCCAUGGUGUCAUCGGGGUGAAAUGACGUCUAAAAACCUUUCACUUGUUCGUCUUUUAGUACGACCUUUGAUGACCUUGAUGAAGGUGGAGAUUGAGGGUUUGGCCAUAAUUAGUUUUUCUUGAGUGUCAUGUAAACGUUCUGAUUAUAACCUUCAUUUUUAACCCCGGAGGUUGAUGGUUGGCUGAAAACCAACAGAGUUGCACAGUGACUGACUCCUGGUAUAGAGAUUUAAAUGGAAGUAAAGUUGUGGUAUUUUAGAGCACAUUACGGGUUUUUUUGGUCUGGAUUUGAAAUGACAAUGACUGACACGUCUCUCUGUUUUUCUGCAUUGAAACUUGUCUUUUCUGCUCACUCAGCAUGUCAGGAGCAGGGAUAUUAUGGAAGCAGCUGUCUCAGGCUGGUGCAGCUGUAUAUGAGUGUGAGGAUAUGUACAGUGCAUAUGACUGGUGCUCAGGAUGACCUCCACAAACAGCCUGCAGAGUGGAACUUGUCAAAGCGCCCCUCUCUGAUGUGUGCUUGGUGUUGAUCUGCUGGAAGCGACUCGGUUUGUCCUCAGUGCUCUUGCCUUUUAUCCGUUUGAAUUCGUCACAGUCAGACUCUGACUCAAAUGUAACAUGUUUAAUUAAAGCCGCUCCAACCUCAGAAAUGCUUCUAUUUUAUGUCUUUGCAC
rnacentral:lncRNA from 1 species